CAAACUGCUCAGUAACACAUGAUCAACUUGCCCUAUAGAGAAAAAUAACCUCGGGAAACUGAGGAUAAUAUUUCAUAGUUGAAAAGGCUUGGAAAAGUUUUUCAAUAAAAGGGAUAAGAAAAAUGGUUCUUAUUCGCUAUAGGAUAGGAUCGUGGUCGAUUAUGGUUGUUGGUGAGGUAAUGGCUCACCAAGCCGAUAAUCGAUAGGGGCCGUGAGAGCGGGAGCCCCGAGAUGGGUACUGAGACAACGACCCAGGUCUUACGAGACGCAGCAGGCGCGAAACCUCCGCAAUACACGAAAGUGUGACGGGGUUACCCAAAGUGUUCAAUUUUGAACUGUGGUAGGUGAGUAAUGUCCCCUACUAGAAAGGAGAGGGCAAGGCUGGUGCCAGCCGCCGCGGUAAAACCAGCUCUUCAAGUGGUCGGGAAAAUUAUUGGGCUUAAAGUGUCCGUAGCCGGUUUAGUAAGUUCCUGGUAAAAUCGGGUAGCUUAACUAUCUGUAUGCUAGGAAUACUGCUAUACUAGAGGGCGGGAGAGGUCUGAGGUACUACAGGGGUAGGGGUGAAAUCUUAUAAUCCUUGUAGGACCACCAGUGGCGAAGGCGUCAGACUGGAACGUGCCUGACGGUGAGGGACGAAAGCCAGGGGAGCGAACCGGAUUAGAUACCCGGGUAGUCCUGGCCGUAAACGAUGCAUACUAGGUGAUGGCAUGGCCAUGAGCCGUGUCAGUGCCGUAGGGAAACCGUUAAGUGUGCCGCCUGGGAAGUACGGUCGCAAGGCUAAAACUU
rnacentral:rRNA from 1 species